rnacentral:rRNA from 1 species
AUUGAACGCUGGCGGCAGGCCUAACACAUGCAAGUCGAACGAGUGGCGGACGGGUGAGUAAUGUCUGGGGAACUGCCCGAUGGAGGGGGAUCACUACUGGAAACGGUAGCUAAUACCGCAUACCAUCGGAUGUGCCCAGAUGGGAUUAGCUAGUGGGUGGGGAAACGGCUCACCUAGGCGACGAUCCCUAGCUGGUCUGAGAGGAUGACCAGCCACACUGGAACUGAGAAACGGUCCAGACGCCUACGGGAGGCAGCAGUGGGGAAUAUUGAACAAUGGGGGCAAGCCUGAUGCAGCCAUGCCGCGUGUAUGAAGAAGGCCUUCGGGUUGUAAAGUACUUUCAGCGGGGAGGCGUUACCCGCAGAAGAAGCACCGGCUAACUCCGUGCCAGCAGCCGCGGUAAUAC